rnacentral:rRNA from 1 species
UACAGAGGUCUCAAGCGUUGUUCGGAUUCAUUGGGCGUAAAGGGUGCGUAGGUGGCGGGGUAAGUCAGGUGUGAAAUCUCGGGGCUCAACCCCGAAACUGCACUUGAUACUGCCUUGCUCGAGUACUGGAGAGGGGAUUGGAAUUUACGGUGUAGCAGUGAAAUGCGUAGAUAUCGUAAGGAAGACCAGUGGCGAAGGCGAAUCUCUGGACAGUUACUGACACUGAGGCACGAAGGCCAGGGGAGCAAACGGG